GAUUGUGUUUCCGAAAUAAGAAUU
rnacentral:snRNA from 1 species